rnacentral:lncRNA from 1 species
CGGCCGCGCUCGCCCGCCGGGCUCCCUGCUUGCCGCCGAGGAGAUAGCAGGGGGGCGAGGAAAAAAGGACUACGAGGAAAUCUACUUCCCGGCGAGAGAGCCUUGAGUUCUGCAUUUCAACCUCAGGGCAACGUGGGCAGGGCCGGGCUGGGCCGGGAGCCGCAGCCCCCCGCUCCCGAGCCCGCCCCCGGGGGCGGCCCGGCGGCCCUGCAGCCCCGCCAGUGGCCGCGGGAGAUGACGGACAGCGCGGGGCCGGCGGCCUUUCCGCUGCCUCUCGCGGACGUGCUCAGCACCUGGUCCCUACCACAACAGCAACGCCCGCGUAAUACCUGCCAGGCGACUCCCAAAGAGCCAGGUCCUAUAAAGGAAGUAAAACGUGAACGGGAAUAAUACGGUGACGGCAGCGCACGGAAUAUCGGCGAGUGAAAUACGGAUCUGACGUCUCUGGAACGCGAGGCGCACCUUCGGAACACCACGUGUGUAAACGGUGCGCUUCCAAAAGUCAGAUCCAUCACCUCUGCCGAGGGGGUCCCUCCGCACUGACACGCGCACACACCAAUUCAACCGCCCGAAAGCGAUCGCGUCCUUCAUUCGCUGCAGCCAGAGCCCUCCUCGGCGCGCUGACCUGACCCGCCGCGGCUAGUUUUAGGGCAGGAGGCGUUGAAUUAGCGGGACCCGGAUCCAACAUUUAAUUAAAUUGAUUACUUAAUUAAACAAAGGAGAGGAGUGCGUGUUUGUGAGCCCGAGGACCUGCAUUAGCAGCGCGCCCUCUCCGAAGAACGGCCGCCGGGAGCCCCGGCCGCUCCCUCGCCGCUGCCGCCCGGCCCUGGCCCCAUUACCUCCCGCUGCCCCCCUCCCGGCUCCCGGCGGUGUGAAGCCGGGCCGAGCUCCACGCAUCCUCUCGGUUCCAGCCCGGCCCCGCGGCUCCCGCACUCGGUGUCCCCGAGGGUUGCCCCGCUGCUCGGACGUGAGCCCGCGCUGCUCGCUCACUCUGUUUCUCUCCCAUCUGUGUCCAUUGUGUUCACAACUGUGUCCUUUCCUUUCGCCCCCCCUCCCCCCGAGUGUCUUCCAACCUGUCUGUUCCCCUCCUUCCCUCUCCCACCCCUCCACCCCGCCUCUGAUCUCCGGGAUAUUUGGUUUCUUUCCCUUUCUCAAUGUGUGUUCCUGAUGUGGUCCUGUCGGAAAAGCUCGUUUACUCUGCUCGGGUCUCCAGUGGUUUAAGGAUAAUGUUUAUCAGAAGUGAACGUGCUCAACUUGUUUCCAUUCAACUGCUGAGUGUGGGCUGAAAUACCAAAGGUCACAUCUACAGUGAGUCGGUAGAGGGCAGGGGGAGCCGAGAGGAAUAUGAAAACAUUGUAAUAUACAACAGCCUGUUGAUCGCUCGUGACCCGCCUGGCAAAAAGAUUUUUUUUUUUUUUUUUUUUUCAGGUAGGAAAUAAUUGAAGAAUUGAAGGGGAAAAGUGGCACGGAG